AAUGAACGUUGGCGGCGUGGAUUAGGCAUGCAAGUCGAGCGCGAACCCCGCAAGGGGUGAAAGCGGCGAAAGGGAGAGUAACGCGUGGGUAUCUACCCUCGGGACUGGGAUAGCUGCGGGAAACUGCAGGUAAUACCAGAUGACGUCCCCGGACCAAAGGUGUGAUUCCGCCUGAGGAUGAGCCCGCGUCCUAUUAGCUAGUUGGUGGGGUAAUGGCCUACCAAGGCAAUGAUGGGUACUGGGUGUGAGAGCACGACCCAGCUCACUGGGACUGGGACACUGCCCAGACACCUACGGGUGGCUGCAGUCGAGAAUCUUCGGCAAUGGGCGAAAGCCUGACCGAGCGACGCCGCGUGUGGGAUGAAGGCCUUCGGGUUGUAAACCGCUGUCAGAGGGGAGGAAUGGGCGGAGGGUAAUCUCUUCGUUUUGACCUAUCCUCAGAGGAAGUACGGGCUAAGUUCGUGCCAGCCGCCGCAGUAAUAC
rnacentral:rRNA from 1 species